rnacentral:rRNA from 1 species
UGGGGAAUUUUCCGCAAUGGGCGUAAGCCUGACGGAGCAAUACCGCGUGAGGGAGGAAGGCCUUUGGGUUGUAAACCUCUUUUCUCAGGGAAGAAGAAAGUGACGGUACCUGAGGAAUCAGCAUCGGCUAACUCCGUGCCAGCAGCCGCGGUAAUACGGAGGAUGCAAGCGUUAUCCGGAAUUAUUGGGCGUAAAGCGUUCGUAGGUGGUUUUGUAAGUCUGCUGUUAAAGCGUGUAGCUUAACUACAUAUAGGCAGUGGAAACUACAAAACUUGAGUGCGUUCGGGGUAGAGGGAAUUCCCGGUGUAGCGGUGAAAUGCGUAGAGAUCAGGAAGAACACCGGUGGCGAAGGCGCUCUACUAGGCCGCAACUGACACUGAGGGACGAAAGCUAGGGGAGCGAAUGGGAUUAGAUACCCCUGUAGUCC